rnacentral:rRNA from 1 species
UGACCUCAAAUCAGGUAGGACUACCCGCUGAACUUAAGCAUAUCAAUAAGCGGAGGAAAAGAAACUAACAAGGAUUCCCCUAGUAACUGCGAGUGAAGAGGGAAAAGCUCAAAUUUAAAAUCUGGCGGUUCUUGCAGCCGUCCGAGUUGUAAUUUAGAGAAGUGUUAUCCGCGCUGGACCGUGUACAAGUCUCCUGGAAUGGAGCGUCAUAGAGGGUGAGAAUCCCGUCUUUGACACGGACUACCAGGGCUUUGUGAUGCGCUCUCGAAGAGUCGAGUUGUUUGGGAAUGCAGCUCAAAAUGGGUGGUAAAUUCCAUCUAAAGCUAAAUAUUGGCGAGAGACCGAUAGCGAACAAGUACCGUGAGGGAAAGAUGAAAAGAACUUUGGAAAGAGAGUUAAACAGUACGUGAAAUUGUUGAAAGGGAAACGCUUGAAGUCAGUCGCGUUGGCUGGGGAUCAACCUUGCUUUUUGCUUGGCGUACUUCUCAGUUGAUGGGUCAGCAUCAGUUUUGACCGCUGGAUAAAGAUUGAGGGAAUGUGGCAUCCUCGGAUGUGUUAUAGCCCUUAGUUGUAUACAGCGGUUGGGACUGAGGAACUCAGCACGCCGCAAGGCCGGGUCUUUGACCACGUACGUGCUAGGAUG